AGUUUUGAGCUAAAUAUAUUAUAAUAUUAGUUAUUUAUGGAAGGUGUUGUAAAAUCUUAUUAAAAAUUAUAUUUAGGGGUGAUAGGCCUUUCAAAAACUAAGAUAUCUUGAAUCUAAUUAAAAGUAUGUAGUACAUUUAACACAACUAUUAAGUGACUAGGCUUUAUAGAACUAUUAACUUAUAGAUAUUUUAUUUACUAUAAUUUAAUAAUUAAGUAUAUAAGUAUAUUAAUAUUCAUUUAUUAUAAUUUAUAAGGAGUAAUUAGAUAAAUUAAAGUUUAUAAAUUUUGUAAUAAUGUUAAUAUUAGUAUUAAAUUUAUAUUUAUAUGAUGAACUCGGCAAAAAUGCUUCUCAACUGUUUAUCAAAAACAUAACUAUGUGAAUAAAUACAUAGCGGUUUCUGCUCAA
rnacentral:rRNA from 1 species